ACACAUGUAUAUAAAUGUUAAAAUUUUGAAUUUAUAUUUUUGUACCGUGUUAAAAUUUCUCUAACUUAAAUUUUGAUCACCUCUGAUUGUCAUCAAACUGUUUAUUUAACACACUAAAAAAAAAAACAAAGAUCUAACUAUCGACUCAACGUAAUAACUACAUUAUUAGAUGUUAAUAUACAAUUAUAUGUACCAAAUUUAUGGACGAAACAAUUAAUGUUGGUGUAACCGUUAAUAAAUACUCCCUCCG
rnacentral:lncRNA from 1 species